CAUGAGUUGUAUUGCACCAGUGUCUGCCGGUAGGACCCCCGCCGAUGUGCGGCCGACUGCUGGCGCCGGUGUCCCUAUAUUACGGCCGUCGCCUUGCUGUGCCAUCAUCAAGUGCUUGCAUGCUGCUACUCAUCCUUAUGGGAAUUUGUGCUACGUAAAAGUUUGCUUCGCCGUGGUUGCCCAUCGGGGUCUCCGCUGCGGCCGUUUAGCGAUUCCGGCGUUGCCAGGCGGUGCUGGCCACCUAUGUGGUUGGUGUCGUCAAGGCUACCUCGCUUGCGCUCUUUGUCCUGGAUGCUGCUAACGAUAAAGGCCCAUGUCCCACUGUGGACUGUCCCUACAGAAAGUCUCUCGAAACACGACAGUUGGCCUAGUUUUUGCCGUCGAUGUGCCACGUGCUGGCCGUCGAUGUGCGACGACUGGUGCCAUCUCGUCGAUG
rnacentral:misc_RNA from 1 species